GUGAAUCAUCAAAUCUUUGAACGCAAAUUGCACUCUCUUCGGAGAGUAUGCCUGUUUGAGGGUCAGUAUUAAUUAAAAAUAGGUUUGGUUGCAAAUUGUGACGUUUCCGGAGUUUGGGCUAUCCUAACUUCUUGGGUUAAGGGGCUUAAAAUUGACCUAUUUUGAGCAUUUUGAGUGGUACAUACUUUUUUUUUUUAUUCG
rnacentral:misc_RNA from 1 species